AUUAAACGCUGGCGGCAUGCCUUACACAUGCAAGUCGAACGGCAGCACGGGGGGAACCCUGGUGGCGAGUGGCGAACGGGUGAGUAAAGCAUCGGAACGUGCCCUGGAGUGGGGGAUAACGUAGCGAAAGUUACGCUAAUACCGCAUAUUCUGUGAGCAGGAAAGCAGGGGAUCGCAAGACCUUGCGCUCUGGGAGCGGCCGAUGUCGGAUUAGCUAGUUGGUGGGGUAAAGGCCUACCAAGGCGACGAUCCGUAGCGGGUCUGAGAGGAUGAUCCGCCACACUGGGACUGAGACACGGCCCAGACUCCUACGGGAGGCAGCAGUGGGGAAUUUUGGACAAUGGGCGAAAGCCUGAUCCAGCCAUGCCGCGUGAGUGAAGAAGGCCUUCGGGUUGGUUAAGACGUCUUUCGGUUGGGGUAAGGGUAAAAGUUAAGUCGAAUGGGCGUAAUACCUACGUGUAGAUGACGGUACCGUCGGUAGGAAGGAAAGGACGACCGG
rnacentral:rRNA from 1 species